AGAACGGACGCUGGCGGCAUGCCUAAUACAUGCAAGUCGAACGAACACUUCGGUGUUAGUGGCGCACGGGUGCGUAACGCGUGGGAAUCUGCCCUUGGGUUCGGAAUAACAGUUGGAAACGACUGCUAAUACCGGAUGAUAUCGAAAGAUCAAAGAUUUAUCGCCCAGGGAUGAGCCCGCGUAGGAUUAGCUAGUUGGUGAGGUAAAGGCUCACCAAGGCGACGAUCCUUAGCUGGUCUGAGAGGAUGAUCAGCCACACUGGGACUGAGACACGGCCCAGACUCCGUACGGGAGCAGCAGUAGGGAAUAGUUGGACAAGUGGGCGCAAGCCUGAUCCAGCAAUGCGCGUGAGUGAUGAGUCUUAGGUAGUAAGCUCUUUACCGAGAUGAUAA
rnacentral:rRNA from 1 species